rnacentral:lncRNA from 1 species
GAGGCAAGAAAGGAUUCUACCCAGAGUCUCAGAGGGAACAUGGCCCUUUUGAAAACUUGAUUUCAGACGUCUAGCGUCCAGAACUGUGAGAGAAGAAAUUUCUGUUUUUGUAAGCCUCCCCGAUUGUGGUACUUUGCUACGGCAGCCGAAGGAAAUUCAUACAGUACCUACUUGAACAACUUCUUCCAGCAUUUCUCGUACGGACAAAGAUCGUCUUGAAUAAAGAAGGAGAACAUAAUGAGGGAGAGGAAGUCAGUCCCUCCUCUUUUCAUUGAAUGAUAUCCGCCUGAUCUUUCCCAGGAUAUAAGAAAACUGGUGACAUUAAAGAAGAUAUAGAAUGGUAACCCAAGAAAAUAUGAGAAAGAACAGAAAAGCCAAGCAGUGAAACAGAAUAGAGAAAUAAUUAUGCCAGAAAAAAAUAAUCUAUUCGAGGCUCUUCCAAAAAAUUUCUAUUUGAGCUUCCUGAGAACCAAGGGAAAAGAGGAACAAUGUGGUUUAUAGAGCUCUUAUUGGACAAAAAGAGAUGGUCUACGUUUUUUUGUCUUAAGAAACUCAGCCUGAAAACACACGAUUAUCACUGUUUUAAUGAUUUUACUUUUUCCUUUUAUCUGUUUUCUUAGUAUGAGCCUCCCAAGAAGAAUUAAUCAUGUGAAUCUUAAAUAAAAG